UUUACAUUAAGGAAGACUCCUGAUGUUGUACACUCUAUGGAUUCUACAAAUGUAUAAUGAGACAAUCAAACUUCAGAUAAUCAUGCAACAAGGUUUCCAGCCAGUUCCAGGUGUAGACACCACUCCCAGCCAUCAAGAAACUACUGUCAAGGCAAGGGUUCUGUGAUCCUCAAUAGGUACGAAUCCUGGAAGUGGAAAGGAAGGGGCAUGAAUUUCGGAAAUGGGGAAGAAGAAGAAACGACAGCAACUAGAUGUCAUAAUUUACAGCAGCAGAUGUGAAGCAAGUUUUUGGAUUAUGGCCAGUGGAAAGAAAGCAUGCCAGACAGCUAAUGGGAGGCAAGAGUAGUGUGACAUGUGGAUGGACUGGAGGGCAGGUGAUAGAUUAUGCAGGUCCUCAUAAAGCAUGUGUAGGAGUUUUAUAUUUAUGUAAAGACUGAU
rnacentral:lncRNA from 1 species